rnacentral:lncRNA from 1 species
ACUUCAAAAAGCAGCAAGUCCUUAAGUGCCAAGCAUCAGAGGUUCCCCAAGCAGUUAACCCUUCGAGUAUCCCUAGUUUUUUGUGUUGAUCCGGUUCCCCUGCGAAGUGUUUGUUCUCUAGCAGAGUUCCGGUUCUUUUCCCCAAGCUAAGUUGGUUGAUUCAGUACCUUGCGGCGUGUUAUUUCCCCGACAGUGUUUCUAUAUUCCCCAACAGGGUUCACGUUUCUUCAGCAGAGUAAGAUGUUUUCCCCAUUAGAUCGCAUCGG